AGAGUUUGAUCCUGGCUCAGAACGAACGCUGGCGGCGUGGAUAAGACAUGCAAGUCGAGCGGGACAUUUCGGGUAGCAAUAUUCGGGAUGUUCAGCGGCGCAAGGGUGCGUAACACGUGGGCAAUUUACCAUAAAGCUUGGGAUAACUCGCUGAAAGGCGAGCUAAUACCGGAUGUGAAGUUUGGGAGGCAUCUCCUGGACUUUAAAGUUGGGGACCGCAAGGCCUGACACUUUAUGAUAAGCCCGCGGCCUAUCAGCUAGUUGGUGAGGUAACGGCUCACCAAGGCUAAGACGGGUAGCUGGUCUGAGAGGACGACCAGCCACACUGGAACUGAGACACGGUCCAGACACCUACGGGUGGCAGCAGUCGAGAAUUUUUCACAAUGGGCGAAAGCCUGAUGGAGCGACGCCGCGUGGGGGAUGAAUGGCUUCGGCCCGUAAACCCCUGUCAUUUGCGAACAAACCUUUUCACCCAACACGUGAAGAGCUGAUUGUAGCGGAAGAGGAAGGGACGGCUAACUCUGUGCCAGCAGCCGCGGUAAUACAGAGGUCCCAAGCGUUGUUCGGAUUCACUGGGCGUAAAGGGUGCGUAGGCGGUCAGGUAAGUCUGAUGUGAAAUCUCGAAGCCUAACUUCGAAACGGCAUUGGAUACUAUCUGGCUUGAGGAAUGGAGGGGAGACUGGAAUGCUCGGUGUAGCAGUGAAAUGCGUAGAUAUCGAGCGGAACACCAGUGGCGAAGGCGAGUCUCUGGACAUUUCCUGACGCUGAGGCACGAAAGCCAGGGGAGCAAACGGGAUUAGAUACCCCCGUAGUCC
rnacentral:rRNA from 1 species